CCUACGGGUGGCAGCAGUGGGGAAUAUUGCACAAUGGGCGCAAGCCUGAUGCAGCCAUGCCGCGUGUGUGAAGAAGGCCUUCGGGUUGUAAAGCACUUUCAGCGGGGAGGAAGGCGUUAAGGUUAAUAACCUUGGCGAUUGACGUUACCCGCAGAAGAAGCACCGGCUAACUCCGUGCCAGCAGCCGCGGUAAUACGGAGGGUGCAAGCGUUAAUCGGAAUUACUGGGCGUAAAGCGCACGCAGGCGGUCUGUCAAGUCGGAUGUGAAAUCCCCGGGCUCAACCUGGGAACUGCAUUCGAAACUGGCAGGCCAGAGUCUUGUAGAGGGGGGUAGAAUUCCAGGUGUAGCGGUGAAAUGCGUAGAGAUCUGGAGGAAUACCGGUGGCGAAGGCGGCCCCCUGGACAAAGACUGACGCCCAGGUGCGAAAGCGUGGGGAGCAAACAGGAUUAGAUACCCCUGUAGUC
rnacentral:rRNA from 1 species